GCUUGAUGCAGUGUACUGUGUGAAAGACAUGGGUAGUGAGAUUGUGACAUCUCAAGACUAUCCCGCUACCUUGUCUCUCAUCACAGCGUGCU
rnacentral:pre_miRNA from 1 species